AGUUUUUUACCAGAUAAGCUUUUUAAAAAAUUAUGUUCAACAAUUAUCUUUUUAUUGUAGUUAAGUUUUUCAAAUUCUUGCUGUUUUCAAUAUCUCCUGGUUUCAUCAUCCCUACUGAGAAAUUACGUAUACAAUCUUAUAAUUAAUUGUUUGCUUUGGUCUUCUUUUAUUUUCCUGCUUUAUGAUAAAAUUUUCAUUAGCCUAAAUGUGUUAUUAAUUUUUCUUGUUUCUUAAAUAUUUGUUCAAUAUUAUAUUCACAACUUUAAGUUCAAAGGAUCAGUUUUCUGAACAGAUCUUCAUACACUAUAAAUUCCUUGUUGUAUGACCAUCUCUAAUAAUUUUAUUUUUAAUUUUUAGGUAAUGCCUGAUUAUAAUUUAAAUAAGGACGUUGACAAAAAUUAAUGAACCAUUUGCACAAAAAAUAUUUGAAUCAACAUUUAUUCACUCCUGGAAGAUAUUAAAUAUUUCAACAGAAUAUUCCAAUGGAUGGAACUUUUUCCAGCAUCUGGAUUAUUUUCCAGGUUAGACACAUGUUUGUCCACAGACUUGUCUUCUCUGAAUGAAAUCCAAAAGUUGUUUUUACUCCUAGAACCCUCAAAGCCUCUCUGUUUUUUGUCUAUCUAUUUUGCUCACUGUUGUUGAAUCUAUAUUCUUCAAAUGUGCCUUUACCAAGUCUCCAAAAUCACUGUGAGUAUAUGAUUCUCUGGGUAUGAGGUUGUGUAGUCAUGUCAAAUUAAAAUUUAAUAUUCCACAUACAGUCUGCACAGACAAAUAUAAGAAAUUUUGUAAUAACAUUUGUCUUGGUUAGUGUUGAUAGCUGAAUGCGAUUUCUUAUUCUACUGUGGAUCAAUAGAUCAAGAUUCCUUCAGAGAGGAAAGGCAAGUACCCAAAGGUUUUCUUCUAAUGACUGAAACACGUGGUCAGAAGACACACUAUUAACACUCGUCCUAAUAAUUUUUCAGCUAAAGAGUUGGGAAUGUAAGGAAAGGAAAUGGCUAGACUAUUCAAGAUUCUACUGGCAGAUUAUUUGUGAUGGUUGGUCUCUUUUUGCCUCCUAGAACAUUCAAGAGUACUUCAAGAUGCAAAGGAAAGAAGAGUUAAGAAAAGAAGGCCUUUCAUAACAUAUUGUUCCACAGGGGCUCUGAGCCCCACCAGGACAAAGUUUUCACAGUUGCUAGAGUUAACAAGACACGAAACCUACUAGGAAAAGACCUGACUUCUAUUUGCCAUGAUGGAAAACUCCCCACAGUAAUUCUGGAAUGUUUUAUGUUACUAUCUGCCUUAUGGACAAGAUCCUGCUUCUUAAAUGAACCCUAAUCUCUUCAAUUCCAUCAGCAUGAAGAGAAACAAUUGUGCAUCAAAUCAUUGGCUAUACAAUAAGGAUAUGCUGUCUCUCAACAAAGAAAAUGGAACCAAAACUGAGGGUAUAUUGGCAAUAUCACUAAACAUAGCAUCAUGUCAAACAAUAAAGAAGUUGGAUUGUGAAAAAGAUGUAAACAUAAAAACAAUCCAUCUGUGCAUAUGGUAGCAUGUAUCUUAAAGGAAUUACUUCAAAUUAUCAAAGGAAAUUUGCUGACAUCUAGACUAUAUGAAGAAUGACUUGGGGUACAUGACCAGGUCAAUGAAGAAGAGAAAGUAGCCACUGUGCAGAGGAUAUGCUGUUCUUCAUCCAAGAAAAGGGGCCCCAAAUUCAGGAUAUAUCCAUAAUUUCACACAACAUAGCAUCAUGAAGAAGUUGGAUUGUGAAGAAGAUGUAAACAUAAAAAAAUAAUCCAUCUGUGUAUAUGGUAGCAUGUAUCUUAAAGGUAAGGAAAGUCCUUGCAUCAUACACCCUCAGGAUUCUUCUCAAUCUAUUUGAGUAGUUUCCUUCAUUAUGCAUUCCCUUGAGUGGUAGUAGAUAACAUAUAAGAGAAAUCUGAUAAAAAAGCAAAAACAAAAACAAAAAGCUGUCAUAAUGAGCAGUAAUGUAACUAAGUAUCUUUCAUUUGAUUCUUCCACAAGUAUAUGGAGAGUCACUUCAUACAUGCAUAUGAGUUUCACCUGAUAUGCAUGCCUCCUCAGAUGCAUUUGUCUAAGAGUGUUCUUAAGGGUGUCACUCUCCUUUUUUUCUGAGAGGCAGGUUUCUCUUCCUAGGUAUAGAGCACGUGACUCCUUCAUGUAUAUCUUUGCUGUACAUACCCAGUAGAAUCUCUUGGUCUGCUUGUCCCUCUCACUCACAAAAUAUUGGUAUCCAAAUGAAGGUUCACAUGGCUAUGUAACACGUAUUCUUAAGUACUGGGCCAUUCCUUCAGCACCAUAAUUUUAUUGUUAUAUUUAAAAAUUAAAAUCAUUUCACUCCUCCCUAUUCCUUGCUCUAAUGUUGUUUCCCUUCAAUCUCCCACUUCUGAUAAAAUACAUUUUCUUUAACUGUUAUUUUGUAGAUACAAAUAAAUCCAUAAAUAUGUUCAAAUAACCUGAUGAGUCCAUUAUCCUUGUUAGUAUCUGUACUAUUUCCAAAGGAACCAACUGUGAUUGGCUUACAAAUUAGGGGGUUCAUUUUUGAGAAAGACCAAUUUCCUCACUCUUCAUAGUAUUUAUUUGCAUGUAGUUCCUUAUCUAAAAGUUUGACUUCAUGAGAUUUCCUCAUUUUGAUUUAGUGUUACUAACUUGGAUAAUGUUUUGUUUAGAACUUGCUUAAACAACCAGACUGUGGGACUAACAAAAGUGAAGCUUCUCCUGCAUUUCUCUGAGGCCCAAUCCCAAAGCAGAUAUCCUGAUCCUCUGGAAUUACUUCAAAUCACUUAAGAAAGUCUGCUGACAUCUCGACUAUAUGAAGAAUGACUUGGAGUACCAGACCAAGUCAAUGAAGAAGAGAAAGUAGCCACUGUGCAGAGUCUUUUAGAAAACUACUGCACUCACAUGUUACUCUUCUAAGACAACGUUUCAAAUUAUUAUAUUAAGUUGAGAGGAAUUCUUCUGUGAACCAGAUGACAGCUUAUGAUUUAUCUGUUGUGCCAAGUAUCCUAUAUCUGCCUAGUUCCCACAAUAAACGAUUAGCAAAUGAUAUUGCCAAAAAGAUUUCUCUUAUAAACUUUCCAAUUGAAAACUCCCUGAAAUUAUUUGAAGAAGACUCAGUUUUAGUUUAUUAUGAGACCUCAUUAUUUCACCCUUAUGGAGUGGACUCUGAUUCCCAGAAUAAUCUUUCUAAUCCAGAAGGCAUGCGUGCUAUAAAAGGAAAAGGGCAUGCAAGAGCUAAGUGAAUUCAACUACAACAAACGAUGACAUACCUUCUUUCAUAGAAUCAGAGAAACCUGAAAAAUACAUUUUUUUAUAAAUCAAUUAAUUACUUGUGAAUCUGAUACCCGCAAAGUCAAUGUAUACAUAGCCCCACCAGCACCAAACAAAAAGCAACUUGUUGGGAAUUAUCAAAUUCUGCCAGCACCAAUAAAGAAAAAAACCCUUCUUAGCAAGUCUCUCAUGGAAAUCUUUCUUCUCCAAUACUGGAUAUAUUAGCUAUCAUUGCUGAAAAGGGACAAAAGUCAUAUAAAAUACUAAGAACACUAUCAGUUGAAUCACACUGGUACACGAGGGAUAAAAUUGAUGCUGAAUAAGAAGAGGUGAAUUGGAGUCAAGAAUCAGUCCUUGUUAUAGUAUCUGCUUUAUAGGGGGAUUUCAUUCUAAAUAUAUAAAGAAACUUGCUUUCUACAGAUUUAUGUAAUUUAUUUGGUGUCUCUGAUCAAGAAAUUUGAUCAAAAGAUUCUGCUAUCCAAAGAUAAUGAUACAGUAAAUUCUUCGGGAACCAUACAAAGAUAGAAGAAAUGCAUUUUUAAAGUUUUCUACCACAGAUGCCACAACAAAACUUCAUCCUACUAAAACACCUUAUUCAUGUGUUAUUAAAGAUUAAAAUUUCUCCCAUGAAGACUUAGACUCUUAACAGUUUAUCUGUUCACAUAACCCCUAUAUUCCAUGGCAUUCUACUUCCAGCAACUCGUUAUUUGGGAAUGACCUUUCCAAAAAGAUUUCUAUUGAAGAAAUUCUAACUGAAAACUAGCUCUAGAUAUUUGGAGAUGACGAUCAUACAUUUUAUAAAGAUAUUCCAAAAAGGUCUGAUGACAUAAAAAUGUCUUCAGGUUCACUAAAUACUGUUGAUAGAGCAUGUGCUAUGAAAGAUGCCAUAAGUGACCCCCCUGAGAAAACCUUCUUUAAUGCUAAUGCUGAAAAAUUAAAGAUUCCAUUUGCUGCCCCUCAGAAGGAAGGUCCUACAGAGAGCAGGGCACAACAAACAGCUUCUAUAUGUUCCGUGUUUAACAGUGGAAUCAAUGGCAGAGGAUGACUGAAGAUGCUUACAGCUCAUUCUACUUCAAAGUUCCUUUCCACCUCCCAUUCAACAAUAGAAGAAUAUAUCAUUACAAGACACUGCAGCUUUUAUAUUUUACAUUAUUGUUACAAAGAGUUGUCACUGAUCAUUUUGACUUUAUGCUAUAUAUUACACAUUCUUUAUUAUUAUAAUGAAUGUUAUUAAACUAUAAUAUUGAUUAAACUCC
rnacentral:sRNA from 1 species